GGAUUCUGUUUUGUCUCUUUUGGUGUUUCCUGGAUCUGUGCUGCAGCAGGAGUUAGCAUAUUCUUGCCAAAGUUUCAGAAAUUGCUCGAAAUAAGGUUUUCUACCUUGAAUGACUGAGAAGGAAGAAACUAGGAAGGAAGCAAAGACAUCAUCAGCUUGGAUGAGGUCUAUGUUCAGGGCUCUGUUCAGGAAAGGGCAGCAGUGGGCAGGUAUGAAUGAUGCUUCCUUACUGGACCCAGCAAUUUCAGUCGUAUUCUAUUCAGAGGAUCUCAUCUUUUACUUCUUGAGAUUGCAUCAGGGUGCCUGAGCAAAUUCACCAGAUGAAGAACUCCUCUUCUUGUCACUCAGUUGAAAUAAGGCUUAGGAAUAAAAACACACCUCAAGGCUCUUCCA
rnacentral:lncRNA from 1 species